GACGAACGCUGGCGGCGUGCCUAAUACAUGCAAGUCGAACGCUUCUUUCCUCCCGAGUGCUUGCACUCAAUUGGAAAGCGGAGUGGCGGACGGGUGAGUAACACGUGGGUAACCUACCCAUCAGAGGGGGAUGACACUUGGAAACAGGUGCUAAUACCGCAUAACAGUUUAUGCCGCAUGGCAUAAGAGUGAAAGGCGCUUUCGGGUGUCGCUGAUGGAUGGACCCGCGGUGCAUUAGCUAGUUGGUGAGGUAACGGCUCACCAAGGCCACGAUGCAUAGCCGACCUGAGAAGGUGAUCGGCCACACUGGGACUGAGACACGGCCCAGACUCCUACGGGAGGCAGCAGUAGGGAAUCUUCGGCAAUGGACGAAAGUCUGACCGAGCAACGCCGCGUGAGUGAAGAAGGUUUUCGGAUCGUAAAACUCUGUUGUUAGAGAAGAACAAGGACGUUAGUAACUGAACGUCCCCUGACGGUAUCUAACCAGAAAGCCACGGCUAACUACGUG
rnacentral:rRNA from 1 species